rnacentral:rRNA from 1 species
UACGAAGGGGGCUAGCGUUGCUCGGAAUCACUGGGCGUAAAGCGCACGUAGGCGGGUUGUUAAGUCGGGGGUGAAAUCCUGGAGCUCAACUCCAGAACUGCCUUUGAUACUGGCGAUCUCGAGUCCGGGAGAGGUGAGUGGAACUGCGAGUGUAGAGGUGAAAUUCGUAGAUAUUCGCAAGAACACCAGUGGCGAAGGCGGCUCACUGGCCCGGUACUGACGCUGAGGUGCGAAAGCGUGGGGAGCAAACAGG